rnacentral:rRNA from 1 species
UACGUAGGGUGCAAGCGUUGUCCGGAAUUAUUGGGCGUAAAGAGCUCGUAGGCGGUCUGUCACGUCGGCUGUGAAAACCCGAGGCUCAACCUCGGGCCUGCAGUCGAUACGGGCAGACUAGAGUACUGCAAGGGAGACUGGAAUUCCUGGUGUAGCGGUGGAAUGCGCAGAUAUCAGGAGGAACACCGGUGGCGAAGGCGGGUCUCUGGGCAGUAACUGACGCUGAGGAGCGAAAGCGUGGGGAGCGAACAGG